ensembl:lncRNA
AGAGAUUAUUACAUUGUACCUACAACAGCCUAUUGAUGACAACAGCACUGCUGAGGCUGCACCUGAGGUACUAAUAUCUCUAGUUAUGUACUCCCUGAGAGAAAGAAAGGUAGGAUCUGUUCAGCUUAGAGAAGGCUUGGGGCCAGCUCAGCCACCCAUGUGUACAAAUAACCAAAGGGAGGGCACACAGAAGACUCAGGCUCUUAGCGGUGCAGCAGCAGGACUGGAAGCAAUGGGCACAUACUAAGACACAGGGGAUUCUAUGUGAAGAUAAAGAAACACUUUCUCACCGAGGGUGAAUGUGCAACUUUCUCACCGAGGGUGACUGUGCACAUUCACAGGUUGCCCUGAGGGGUUAUGGGCACUCCAUCCUUGGUGGUAUCCAAAAGGCAUAUGAACACAAUGCUGGGCAUCUUGCUGCAGGUAGGAGGCUCUGCCUGAACAGAGACUUUGGACAAGAUGACCUCAGGAGAUUCCUUCUAACCUCUGCCUUUCUGUGAAACAUGUUGAGAGCUGUUAAUGUGGUCAUCAUCUUCAGCACUGUUUGGCGUAAGCUGGGGAAGUGAGAAAUAAAUCCUUUCUACUACCUGUGAAAAAAAUCAUAAAAUCACCAAGGUUGGAAAAGACCUCCAAGAUCACCCAGUCCAACCGUCCACCUACCACCAAUAGUUCUCACUGAACCAUGUCCCUUCGGACAACAUCUGAAUGCUUCUUGGGCACCUUCAAGGACAAUGACUCCACCAUCUCCCUGGGCAGCCCAUUCCAUUGCCUGACCACUCUUUCAGAGAAGAAAUUUUUCCUAACACCCAACCUGAACUUCCCCUGCCCUGUGGCAAUACUUCAUGGCUGUUUUAGCUAAACCUUGCAGAAUUUACACCAGGUCCUGAAGCAGAAAACCACCUUACUGUCUGCAGAACUCGCUGGUGAUGUUUGGAAGGGGAUAGGCAAAGAGAGUGAAAUCCAGGAUGUACUUUGGGAGCAACUCUUCUAUCAGCCUGUGGUUGGUGUUGUGCAGGUAGUAAUGGAGCAUUUCCACCGUCACAGGCUUGUACCACAACUGCCCUUCUGGGAAGUGGGUGAAGGAUGGUGCCUGAACUUCCUCCAGGACACGGUUGACGUGUACCACAUAGCGCAGGGCUGGCACAGGCUGUAGAUGGGCAUCCAGUGCUUGUUCAUCCUCUCCACCUUCUCAUCCAGUAAUGUAGUGGAGAAACUCAGAGAAGGUCACGUUGCUGCCCACCGACUUCCCUCCGUUCUUCUGAUACCGCCUGACUGUCUCCACCCCAUACUUCUGCUGGCACGAGAUUUUGAGGUGUUUGGAUGACAUGCAAACAAAAAAGUUUAAGAUCAUCUCACUCCUCAGAACCAGCACAAAUGUUCACAUUCUGUUAGGUUGGUGCUUUACAGCCACCAUCCUUUACAGCAGUCUCAGGUGACUGAUGUCAGACAAGUCAGUUGGCAAAAAGUGAAAACAUACUGCAAGAACCCCUGAGAAAGAGACUGCCUUUGUAACUGAAUGGCUGCAAGUGACCUGCAGCUGUGGCUUGUGCAGCUGUGCAUGCAGUAGUGUGAGCACAUGGACCUGCUGCUCUCCAAAGUCCACCGCCAAGCAGGAACAGUUUUUCCAAGCAAGCACCCAAGUUACAAGAACCUUCAUUACCGGUGUCUGUUAGUAAAAAAUGAAAUACCUGUGUGAUUUCAUGGAGAAACUUGUAUCUCCUAUGACCAGUCCCAUAAAGCCACUGAAUCACAUAAUUCUUGAAAAUGGAAAUUUAUGGGGCCAAUUAAGGGUGUCUCAGUAAAGAUGCCUGUCUUCUUAUAAGUUAUUUACAUAGCUUUGUAAAUAUAUGGUGCAGAAGAGGAGGAGUUCUGAGCUGUGUAAGUGAAAAGCCCCCUCUCUAGUGGAUUUGUGAACUAGAUAUACAAGUGAAAUUGAAGACAAGCAGAUAUAAAAAUCCUGCAGCAAGUGAGUCCAGAGCAGACUUUCCAUCUGUUUUUCUCUCCACUUAUGACACUGCUUCCAAUUAAUAAAGGUCCAGUGUUACUGGACAUACAUCAGUUCAGUACUCCUCUAUGAUGAUGGAAAUUCAUGUAAAAUCUUGCUGCAUGUGAAACUUUCAUUUUCUGUUUAUUUAGUGCCUUAAGAAUAGUAUUUCCAGUAAGAAAUAAGCUUUAACUAUAUAACUAGUUGUGUACUGCAAAAAGCACAUUGAUGCCCUUUUAUCUGACUAAA